UAUAUAAGUUAUAUUUCCUGUACCCAGUUGUUCAUUCAGCAGCUUGUUAAUAUUUCAUAUCACUGAAAAUGAGAGCUGUAAUUUAUUUCUCUAUAAUUGGGCUAUUGGUGGGGAUAACUUUGUCUCAUCCCCAUCAAACACCACCCAAGAGGGUUGAAGAUUUUGUUGAGACUAAUUUGGAAGUGGAGAGUCUGAAAGAUUCAGAAUUAGGCUCAAAAGGAGUCCCUGAAGUUGAAGGUUCAGCAGGAACAUGCCAAAGCUUUCAAUGUUCAACCUUUUGCAGGAAUUCCGGAUACAGAGGUGGAUACUGUAUUGGAAGCACUUGCAAUUGCUUCUGAAGUAACUUAUAUAUUCUGUGUGAUGAAUUAAAAUCUUGAUAAUUGAUAAUAAA